rnacentral:tRNA from 1 species
GUGGCUGUAGCUCAGUCUGGCUAGAGCGCCUCCCUGUGGAGGAGGAUGUCGAGGGUUCGAAUCCCUUCAGUCACCCCA